GAUCAUGGCUCAGGAUGAACGCUAGCUACAGGCUUAACACAUGCAAGUCGAGGGGUAGCAGGGUAGCAAUACCGCUGACGACCGGCGCACGGGUGAGUAACACGUAUCCAACCUUCCCAUAACUCAGGGAUAGCCUUUCGAAAGAAAGAUUAAUACCUGAUAGUACUUUUUCAAGGCAUCUUGAGAAAGUUAAAGAUUUAUUGGUUAUGGAUGGGGAUGCGUUCCAUUAGAUAGUUGGUGAGGUAACGGCUCACCAAGUCUUCGAUGGAUAGGGGUUCUGAGAGGAAGGUCCCCCACAUUGGUACUGAGACACGGACCAAACUCCUACGGGAGGCAGCAGUGAGGAAUAUUGGUCAAUGGGCGAGAGCCUGAACCAGCCAAGUAGCGUGAAGGAUGAAGGUCCUAUGGAUUGUAAACUUCUUUUAUAGUAGAAUAGAGUGAUCCACGUGUGGAUUUUUGUAUGUAUACUAUGAAUAAGGAUCGGCUAACUCCGUGCCAGCCGCGGC
rnacentral:rRNA from 1 species